UUCCAUAAACAUUUUAGUUAUAUUACAACUUUAGUUAAAAAAAAGCCUCAAGUUCUAAAUUUCUAAAAUUUUGGCGCAACUUUAACUCGAUCAUGUUCACAAAUAACAGAGGCGUACGUGAAAGUCGUGCAUAAUCAUCAGUUAUUACUUCUUCUAUUAUUUUUUUUUCAAACAGAAAUACAAUAUAGAUGCUUGACAGGAAAAUGAGGAUCUUGUCCAAGAAUCAAACAUACAGACACUACUGUCAAAUAGACAAGUAUUUUGACGUUAUGUAAAUAUCUUCUCAACAUACGGGACAUCGGUAAUACUAAAAGGUGUCUGGCUGUCAAAACAAUGAAAUAAUAUUGUCUUGAAUCUGUCCAUAAUCGAUAAUUAAGACAUAGAUAUUUUAGUAUAAAAGUAAAGCGUGCCCAGAACUUUAACUACAUCAGGUUGGUUAGUAACAACGAAAGACAAAAAGAUGAAUAAAGCUGCCCUUUCCGCCUUCACAGUUUUCGUCCUUUUGGUUGCAACAGACGGAUUUUACAUUCAUCCCAAGUAUCAUUGGAAACAGCCCAUGCACUACCCAAAAGUACAUCAUUAUAAUCAGAUGCAACAUUAUCCCGGGCACCCCGGGCACCCCGUGUAUCCCGUGCAUCCAGGCUUUACUGGACAUCCAGCUGGUCAGAAUGUAAGACCUGCUUUCCCCGCACCUGGAUCGAUCACCGGUGAAAGAGAAGACCAGCUAUUGGAUAUCAUGGCAGCUGGCUUACUCUUUAGAUCAGGAAAUACUGCAGGAGGCACUCUGUCACUUCUCCGCGCAUUUUAGAAUUUCGUUAAUGGAAAACAGUGCGCAUGAUUGCAGAUACAAAUUUUGAUGCCUGAUUUUAAAGUGGAAUUCUACAUUAAUAUUUCUGAAAAACACAUCCGUGUAUAUAAGUUUUUGUAAUUGAAAAUUCAUUAUUCUUGGUGUACACUACUUUAUAUUUAAUUCUUCUUAGUAACAGGGGUACCAAGUCCUUGUUCCUUAAAGACAUUUAAUGUGAAAAGUUGCUAAUUUGUAGAAGACCUAGUAAGGUAUUUAUGGGACAUAUUUUAUAAAUGUAACUGUUAAAAUUGUAUGCAGCACUGUCUUCGUUUUAUUAUUUAUUUUUUUAAAAAUUAUA